UACGUAGGGUGCAAGCGUUGUCCGGAUUUAUUGGGCGUAAAGCGCUCGCAGGUGGUUUGUCGCGUCGUGCGUGAAAGACCCGGCUCAACUGGGGAGGGUCGUGCGAUACGGGCGAACUGGAGGCCAGUAGGGGGAUGCGGAAUUCCGGGUGUAGUGGUGGAAUGCGUAGAGAUCCGGAGGAACACCAGCGGCGAAGGCGGCAUCCUGGACUGGUCCUGACACUCAGGAGCGAAAGCGUGGGGAGCGAUCCGG
rnacentral:rRNA from 1 species